AACAAAAACAAAAGAAAAAAUCUAGUUUCACAACAUCCACCCAGGCCGUGGCAGUAACGGUUCCAAGAUGCGCUUGGCCUAUUGCCUUUUUCCGACAUUAAUCUGUUUUCACUCCUCCCAAACUCUUCUUCUUUCUUCCUUCUUCCUUCUUCUCACUCAUCGCAUAAAUUACACAAAUCCAAUGUACUUCGCCCUAAACUCCUCUUCUUCCCUAGGUACCACCUAGCUAGGGUUUAUCUCUCUCACUCACUCACUGCCAACAAAACCCUACCCUUCCCCUCCCCAUCCCAAUCUUCAUUCUCCCUCGCCGAUUCUGGUUUAGCAAGAAUCGAAACGAAGCGUUUCGCUCGUGGAAAUUACGAUGAUUCAAAUAUAAAAAAGAGGAAUCAUUCCUCUGUACUCUAUUAGAAGCAGUGAAGGUUGGGAUUUUGGUGUUAGUUUAUUACUAGUUUUAGUUGAAUAGAAAGUUCUCACUGGAAAGAUGUAUAAUCAAGUGAAUCGCGGUUCUAAUUUUGGGCAGAGUUCUGUUCCUCCGGUGCUGCCACCACCGCCACCACCACAGUAUCAGCAAGCUCCGCCACAUUUUCAUCAAUUUCCACCACCGCCACGACCACCAUCUAAUACUGGUGGUCCACCGCUGCCACCACCACCUCCCAACAUUGGUGGUCCACCACCACCACCUCCGCCACCUCAUAAUGUGUAUUUACCUGGACCUCCCCCUCCGCCUACUUCGUCUUCCGCAGUUCCCUUGAACCUUGCGGUUCAAGGUUCCCAUAGUGUGAUGCCAAAUGCCGGCCGAUCAUAUGCUGUCCCUUCUCAAUUGCACCUUGGGAACACCAUGGGGCCGCAAACAUCUUGGGCUCCUGUGCCACCAACUAGAGUAUUGCCACCGCCACCGCCACCUCCCUCGGUUUCCCAAGGACAAAUUUUUUAUAACCCUCCUUUCCAUCGCCCUCGUCUGCAGCCCGGUGAUGUUCAGAAUCUGCAUAAUGCUCCUCCCCCACCUCCUCCAUCAGUGUAUUUCCAUUCAACUGUUGGGAAUUACCACGUUCCUUCUGGUGUUCCCCCACCAUUGCCAUCGUCUCCACCACCUGUUCUGCCGGCUCCGCCGCCCGUAACCUCUGCAUCACCAAAUGCCGCACGCACUGAUGACCCUCACUCUGUGAAGGUUUCUGGCUUGGAAUCAAAGGCUGUGGAUUUGGUUGACGGAGUUGUAGCUUCUCAUCCAUCUGGUCUUGUGCCUGUACAUGAUUCUGAUUCUAAUUGGGAUGGUGCAAGUUGUAGAGAGGUUGCUGGUGCUGGCAGAGAUGAGGAUCUUCCCCCACCCAAGCCAACAAAAGAAAAAACUUUGGAGAAGAUUGAAGCUUUGUGUCAGCUUAUUGCUGAGAAGGGUGCUGAUAUUGAAGAUAAGAUUCGCCAAGAUGAAUUUCAGAAUCCUGAAUAUGCAUUUUUGUUUGGUGGAGACCCGGGAACCGAAGCUGCAAUUUCUCACACUUAUUUCUUGUGGAUGAAGAAGAAAUAUAAUUUGGAUACUGGAUGGCAUGAAAAGAAAAGGCAAUCAGAUAUAGUAUACUCUUCAGGGGAACAGUAUCAUCUGCAUGUUACAACCGUGAGUGCUGAUUCUGACAUGGAAAUGGAAGAUGAUAUUACACUUUCUGACAAGGACCUAGGUUCAAAUUAUGCAACUGAAGUCCUAACUCAUCAACAUAAUCGGGAUGAUGAAGUGUUUAGUGUGAAUCAGAAUAUAAAGAAGCUGCAGAAUUUAACAGAGAAUUGCCCUGCCCAGGACAUCUCAUCCUGCAGUGCAUCAUACUUUGGAUCCAUGGGAGUCAGCAAACAGAAUGAAGGACCAGAGACUUUAUCUGGAUCAGAGCACAUGAAAUCUGUAAGAUCAGUUACCAAGGUUUGUAGUCCUGUGAAUGACUCCACUAAAGUGGCUGAAUUACCGCUGGGCACAGCUUUGGAAAAAUCUACAGCUCCUGUAGAUGAUGAUUUCACACGUACUGGUACUUCUGAUCACAAUGAAACCACUGCUACUGAUAGAGAUUCUGGGCAACUCAUAAGGAGUGGUAGCCCAAUAAGACUUCUUCAAGAUUAUGCUUCUGAUGACACUUCAGAUAAUGAAGAAGAAGGCAAUGCUGCAGAUGCUAAUGUUUUCACAGUCUCAGGAGGUGCUGACACUGGUGUUUCAGCUGCUCAUAAAGAUUCUGGGAGUUAUGUGGAGACUGACAUUGGAUCUAAGAGUCCCUUCAGUGCCCAAAAGGGCUUUGGGCCGCUCUCCAGAAAAUCGCAGGGUGAUUUAGAAAUAGCUCCACAUUUAUUACAAGAGUCUAAGAAAACCCCUUACAGUAAAAAAUCUGUCUCACGCUGGUCUAGUGAGCAUAACCUUGAAAAUCAAGUGUCUGCUUUAAAGGGCAAAGAUGGAUUAGAGAGUACUGGCAUUGACAGUAGUAGUAAAAGUGGUAAUACUGAAAAGGAAGAUGAGGGGAAAACCUCAAAGUUGGAACCAAAUGUUCUGAAAGUUGAUGAAUUCGGAAGACAUCUCAAAGAAGGUCUUACAGAUAGUGACUCUGAUAAUUCACACUAUCAUCGGACAAGGAGACUAAACAAAAGAGAUAGAAGCUGGAGUCGCAGCCGGUCUCCUCCAGACAGGAGGAGUAGGAGGAAUAGGAGGAGUCCCCGGAGGAGAAGGGAUAAAAGAAACAGGUCUCACAGCUGGUCUCCCCGGCACCGAAGAAGCAGGAGUAGGUCUCCAAUCUCAAGACGUUCAGGUGACUUUCGUGGUGAGAAUGUGAAAAAGGACAAGGAUCAGUGCUUGGACUUCCUUCGAGGAAAGUGCUAUCGAGGAGCAUCUUGCAAGUACAUUCACCAUGAAUCUGACAUGAAUGCUACUUCAAGGCACUAUAGGAAUAAACAUGAUCUGGAAGCCAGUUCUCAUGCAAAAGAAUCUAAGAUUAAUGGAGACAUGAAGAGUAUUUCUUCUAAAGUGUUGGUUAAUGAGCGUGAUGGAGUCAGAAGUCAGGAUGUGGAUCUUUGCCAGAAUGUAACUAGCCAGGAAGUAAUGAAGAAAAAAGAUGAUUCAUGGAGGCAUGCUGGUGCAUCAACUACUAUUCAUCUUGAUGGUCAUUCAGUUAAUAGCAAUCUAAGUAAAUCUGAAUAUAUCAGAGAGGUUGCUCCUGAAAAGCAGGAAACCAUAGUAGUGAGGGAGGAGCCUAAGACUUUAAUCCUUGAAAAUGAUGGUUUGAAAGCAGGGGAUUCUCAUCAGCAAAACUUAGUUGAUGGUUUUCACCCUGAAGCUUUAGGCAGUGGUGAUGCUUCUAAACCAUCUGGUACAUAUAAAGAUGCCAUUCCCUCAGAAGAUGGUUCAUUUGUUCAGCAAAUGCAACUCAAUGUUGCAGCUGUUGGAAUUCCAGAACAUUCUGGUUAUGCAUCUCAGCAUGUAAAUGCAUCCUUUGUGACCGGUUCAUCACCUGAUAGAAGAUCAAUUGUUUCUGCUAGUGUUAAUGAAGCUCCUGGUAGUAAACCGUUACCAUUGUUGUCAUCGACUCAGCAACAAUCAGCCACUAGUUCUGUUGGGCAAUGUGUCACAUCAGAGCAGCCUUCAUUGCACUGUCAGGCUUCUAAAGAGUUACCUCCACAGAGUGGUUCUUCAGGGGAAUUUCCACUUCAUACUUACCAGUUGCCUGCUUCUGCUGUUUCACAUUUCCAGGGUGAAAAUCCUGUGCAUAUGCCUCAAAUUUUUAGGCAGUAUGGUGUGAUGCAACAAAGUGCAUUCAUUCCUUUCCAAUCCACUACCAGAGAAAAGUAUGAACCUUAUCCAGCUCCAUUACACAUGCAGAAUGCUCACUUCAAUGUACCACCUAAUAGCUCUUGGACAUCCUUGCCCCUGCCACCACCGCCACCACCAAGAGCGGUGUAUGAUUCCAGUUUAAACUCAGGAGUUGGAAAAUCAUAUAUUUCUUCUGAAUUCAAUCAGAGUCAAUUGCAUUCAAGAACUGACUUUGUUUUUCAGACUUCCAUGAAGCCUGGGUUACCAACUGGUUCUCAGAAUUCUGAAUUUCUGGAUCAAGCAUACCCUCCAAUGCAGGAUCAUUCACGAGCUUUCAUGCUUACAGAACCUUUCUCUCCAAAGCAUCUCCCUCAGGGGAAACCAGCUAGUCAAUUACCUUCAGGCUCUAAUCUCAAUAGAGAUGACUUUCAUAAUCAACUUCCUAUGCAGGAUUCAAAAUUUUCAAGUACCCCAUCAUUUGGCAGCCUGCAGCCUCAACCAAAUCAAUUUUCCUGGAAGGUGGAUGUGAACAGACUACAACCUAGUCUGGGUGGCAAGUUGCCUCCUGAAGGACAUCAUAUGACAUCUUCCCACAUUGAUUCAUUAUCACAGAAGCAACAAUCAAUAUAUAAUUUUCAAUGUUCUGUUUCCGAGGCUAAUUUGGGUGUGCCUGGGGAGAAUGCUACUGCUUCAAGAUAUCCACCUGAUUUUCUGGAUAGCAAUCAUUCAACUUCUCUUCCAUCUUUUGGGGGAUCAAGAAUAUCUGCUCACUAUAAUCCUUAUGCAUCAACCUUUGAGAAACCACUAACUUUCAAAUUCAGUUCAAGUAUUUUUAGACAGGAAAAUGAAAUAAUCCAUGGUAACAAUUAUGCUUCUUCAAUAUUGAACCAUACUCCUGUGAAUGGGGAAGAUGGUGGUGGGGUUGGAUCAAGACAGUCAGCUUCCUCAUCAAAAUCAGCUAGAGCUCUUGGUCAGAUUUUACCUAGGUCUGGUGGUGACCAAUAUGACCCACUUUUUGACAGCAUUGAACCAUCAUCCUCUUCUCUGAAAAAAAAUGAUUUUGAUCAGAAGAAGGAAGUUACAGGUGAAUCCAACAUCAGCCUAAGGCCCAAAAGUUCUUACAUGUCUUUGGACUCGGAUGAGAAGAACAAGCACGAGGAGGUUGGGGCUGUUGCCUCUACCACUUCUCAAAAUAAUGAUGAAUAUGGUGAAACAGCAGAUGCAGAAGUAGGUGCUGUUGAAAAUGAGAGCCUAAGUGAUGAUGUGGAUGUUGCAAAAAUGACUUCAGGGGAGGUUGAGAUUAAUCAGGUCAAGUCUCCUGGGAAAAGAAAAAAGAGUAAGGAUUCCAGAUCGAUGAAAUUGUUCAAAGUUUCCAUUGCGAAUUUUGUAAAGGAGGUUUUGAAACCAUCAUGGCGGCAAGGUAAUAUGAGUAAGGUGGCUUUCAAAACCAUUGUGAAAAAGACUGUGGAUAAAGUGUCAGGAGCCAUGAAAGGCCACCGUGUACCCAAGUCCCAAGUGAAGAUAAGUCAAUAUAUUGAUUCAUCACAGCGAAAGUUGACUAAACUUGUGAUGGGUUAUGUUGACAAGUAUGUCAAGGUAUGAAAGUGAAGUAUGCAAAUGUUUCUCCAACAUUAAAUGUCAAUAUAGGUGCAUCAUUUCAACAGGAAACGUCAAUGCUUACUUCUCUGGAGUUGUCUCCUCUCAGUUGAAGGCGUACUACGUAGGUGCGAGAAUGAUUGAUCAACAUUCAAGUUCCUGAAGAAGUUUUGGUCGUCCCCGAUAUUGACCUCAUCAAAUAUCUUCCGCGAACUGAACCAUGGAAAUGAAGAAGCUUUUCUUGCAGAGAUGCUGUUAAUCAAAUUUGUUUUUAAUCGUGGAGGAUUGGUGAUGCAUUAUUAUAUUCUGAUUAAUUAUAAUGUAAAUUGACCUUGGUCUUUUAUUUUAUCAUAUAUUUGAUUUGAAGCAAGUCCUCUCUCCGGCAGAAAUACCGGCUACCAUCUGAGCUUGUUACUUAAGUGACAAUAUCACUGGUUUUUGUAUAGUGCACGAGUUUAGCUUGUGUGAAAAUUUCUCAAAAGGAAAUAUUUCUUGUAAACUGUUUUCUUUACAUAUUUUUUUUAUUAAAAAAAUGAUAUUGUCUUGA